rnacentral:rRNA from 1 species
AUUGAACGCUGGCGGCAAGCCUAACACAUGCAAGUCGAACGAGUGGCGGACGGGUGAGUAAUGUCUGGGAAACUGCCUGAUGGAGGGGGAUAACUACUGGAAACGGUAGCUAAUACCGCAUACCAUCGGAUGUGCCCAGAUGGGAUUAGCUAGUUGGUGGGGUAAAGGCUCACCUAGGCGACGAUCCCUAGCUGGUCUGAGAGGAUGACCAGCCACCCUGGAACGGAGACACGGUCCAGACUCCUACGGAGGUCAGCAGUGGGGAAUAUUGGACAAUGGGCGCAAUCCUGAUGCAGCCAUGCCGCGUGUAUGAAGCAGGCCUUCGGGUUGUAAAGUACUUUCAGCGGGGAGGCGUUACCCGCAGAAGAAGCACCGGCUAACUCCGUGCCAGCCGCCGCGGUAAUUC